AGUGAACGCUGGCGGUAGGCCUAACACAUGCAAGUCGAACGGCAGCACAGUAAGAGCUUGCUCUUACGGGUGGCGAGUGGCGGACGGGUGAGGAAUACAUCGGAAUCUACUUUUUCGUGGGGGAUAACGUAGGGAAACUUACGCUAAUACCGCAUACGACCUACGGGUGAAAGCAGGGGAUCUUCGGACCUUGCGCGAUUGAAUGAGCCGAUGUCGGAUUAGCUAGUUGGCGGGGUAAAGGCCCACCAAGGCGACGAUCCGUAGCUGGUCUGAGAGGAUGAUCAGCCACACUGGAACUGAGACACGGUCCAGGCUCCUACGGGAGGCAGCAGUGGGGAAUAUUGGACAAGGGGGGCAAGCCUGAUCCAGCCAUACCGCGUGGGUGAAGAAGGCCUUCGGGUGGUAAAGCCCUUUUGUUGGGAAAGAAAAGCAGCAGGUUAAUACCCCGCUGUUCUGACGGUACCCAAAGAAUAAGCACCGGCUAACUUCGU
rnacentral:rRNA from 1 species